GUAAGGAAUGUGUGCAGGCCUCUGCCCGUUUGGAUCCUGAUGUACUUCCCCAACACCAGGCACUGAGCGGGUAGGGCCCUGUUUACAUUCCUCUCCAUC
rfam:Corynebacterium kroppenstedtii DSM 44385, complete genome.